UACGGGGGGUGCGAGCGUUGUCCGGAAUCACUGGGCGUAAAGGGCGCGUAGGUGGUUUGAUAAGGGUGUGGUGAAAGCCCGGGGCUCAACCCCGGGUCUGCCGUGCCGACUGUCAAACUCGAGGGCUGUAGAGGCAGACGGAAUUCCGGGUGUAGCGGUGGAAUGCGUAGAGAUCCGGAGGAAGACCGGUGGCGAAGGCGGUCUGCUGGGCAGCUUCUGACACUGAUGCGCGACAGCGUGGGGAGCAAACAGG
rnacentral:rRNA from 1 species